rnacentral:rRNA from 1 species
AUUGAACGCUGGCGGCAGGCCUAACACAUGCAAGUCGAGCGGAUGAAGGUAGCUUGCUCCUGGAUUCAGCGGCGGACGGGUGUGUAAUGCCUAGGAAUCUGCCUGGUUGUGGGGGAUAACGUCCGUAAACGGGCGCUAAUACCGCAUACGUCCUGAUGGAGAAAGUGGGGGAUCUUCGGACCUCACGCUAUCAUAUGAGCCUAGGUCGGAUUAGCUAGUUGGUUGGGUAAAGGCCUACCAAGGCGACGAUCCGUAACUGGUCUGAGAGGAUGAUCAGUCACACGGGAACUGAGAAACGGUCCAGACUCCUACGGGAGGAAGCAGUGGGGAAUAUUGGACAAUGGGCGAAAGCCUGAUCCAGCCAUGCCGCGUGUGUGAAGAAGGUCUUCGGAUUGUAAAGCACUUUAAAUUGGGAGGAAGGGCAGUAAGUUAAUACCUUGCUGUUUUGGCGUUACCAACAGAAUAAGCACCGGCUAACUUCGUG